CCCAUAUUGAUCAGGUCACACCUCACCACCCAUAUUGAUCAGGUCACAUCUCACCCCUCCAUAUUGAUCAGGUCACACCUCACCAUCCAUACUGGUCCAGUCACACCUCACCACCCAUAUUAAUCAGGUCACACUUUACCACCCAUAUUAAUCAGGAUACACCUCACCAACCUUAUUGAUCAGGUCACACCUCACCACCCAUAUUGAUCAGGUCACAUCUCACCCCUCCAUAUUGAUCAUGUCACACGUCCCCACCCAUAUUGAUCAGGUCACACCUAACCACCCAUAUUGAUCAGGUCACAUCUCACCCCUCCAUAUUAAUCAGGUCACACCACACCACCCAUAUUGAUCAGGUCACACCUCACCAUCCACGAUGGUCCACUCACACCAAACCACCCAUAUUAAUAAGGGCACACCUCACCACCCACAUUAAUCAG
ensembl:lncRNA